rnacentral:rRNA from 1 species
GUGAACGCUGGCGGUAGGCCUAACACAUGCAAGUCGAACGGCAGUACCGUAAGAGCUUGCUCUUACGGGUGGCGAGUGGCGGACGGGUGAGGAAUACAUCGGAAUCUACUUUUUCGUGGGGGAUAACGUAGGGAAACUUACGCUAAUACCGCAUACGACCUACGGGUGAAAGCAGGGGAUCUUCGGACCUUGCGCGAUUGAAUGAGCCGAUGUCGGAUUAGCUAGUUGGCGGGGUAAAGGCCCACCAAGGCGACGAUCCGUAGCUGGUCUGAGAGGAUGAUCAGCCACACUGGAACUGAGACACGGUCCAGACUCCUACGGGAGGCAGCAGUGGGGAAUAUUGGACAAUGGGCGCAAGCCUGAUCCAGCCAUACCGCGUGGGUGAAGAAGGCCUUCGGGUUGUAAAGCCCUUUUGUUGGGAAAGAAAAGCAGCAGGUUAAUACCCCGCUGUUCUGACGGUACCCAAAGAAUAAGCACCGGCUAACUUCGUG